rnacentral:miRNA from 1 species
UUCGUGCCAAGCUGUGUGCA